rnacentral:rRNA from 1 species
ACGCUGGCGGCGUGCCUAAUACAUGCAAGUCGAGCGAGAUGUUAGCGCAUGAACCUUCGGGGGAUUAUGCUAACGGACAGCGGCGGACGGGUGAGUAACGCGUAGGCAACCUGCCCCUGACAGAGGGAUAGCCAUUGGAAACGAUGGUUAAAACCUCAUGACACCGUAGAAGCACAUGCUUCAUCGGUCAAAGAUUUAUCGGUCAGGGAUGGGCCUGCGUCUGAUUAACUAGUUGGUGAGGUAACGGCUCACCAAGGUGACGAUCAGUAGCCGACCUGAGAGGGUGAUCGGCCACAUUGGAACUGAGACACGGUCCAAACUUCUACGGAAGGCAGCAGUAGGGAAUCUUGCACAAUGGGCGAAAGCCUGAUGCAGCAACGCCGCGUGAAGGAUGAAGGCCUUCGGGUUGUAAACUUCUGUUCUAAGGGAAGAAACAAAUGACGGUACCUUAGGAGCAAGCCCCGGCUAACUACGUGCCAGCAGCCGCGGUAAUACGUAGGGGGCAAGCGUUAUCCGGAAUUAUUGGGCGUAAAGAGUGCGUAGGUGGUUACCUAAGCGCAAGGUUUAAUUUAGAGGCUCAACCUCUACUUGCCUUGCGAACUGGGCUACUUGAGUGCAGGAGGGGAAAGCGGAAUUCCUAGUGUAGCGGUGAAAUGCGUAGAUAUUAGGAGGAACACCAGCGGCGAAGGCGGCUUUCUGGACUGUAACUGACACUGAGGCACGAAAGCGUGGGUAGCAAACAGGAUUAGAUACCCUGGUAGUCCACGCCGUAAACGAUGAGCACUAGGUGUUGGGCCCGUUAGGCUCAGUGCCGCAGUUAACGCAAUAAGUGCUCCGCCUGGGGAGUACGCUCGCAAGAGUAAAACUCAAAGGAAUUGACGGGGACCCGCACAAGCAGCGGAGCAUGUGGUUUAAUUCGA